UACGGGGGGGGCCAGCGUUGUUCGGAAUUACUGGGCGUAAAGGGCGCGUAGGCGGCCUUCUAAGUCAGACGUGAAAUCCCUCGGCUCAACCGAGGAACUGCGUCUGAUACUGGAAGGCUUGAAUCCGGGAGAGGGAUGUGGAAUUCCAGGUGUAGCGGUGAAAUGCGUAGAUAUCUGGAGGAACACCGGUGGCGAAGGCGGCAUCCUGGACCGGUAUUGACGCUGAGGCGCGAAAGCUAGGGGAGCAAACGGG
rnacentral:rRNA from 1 species